rnacentral:rRNA from 1 species
GACGAACGCUGGCGGCGUGCUUAACACAUGCAAGUCGACGGUAAGGCCCUUCGGGGUACACGAGUGGCGAACGGGUGAGUAACACGUGGGUGAUCUGCCCUGCACUUCGGGAUAAGCCUGGGAAACUGGGUCUAAUACCGGAUAGGACCACUGCCUGCAUGGGUGGUGGUGGAAAGCUUUUGCGGUGGGGGAUGGGACCGCGGCCUAUCAGCUUGUUGGUGGGGUGAUGGCCUACCAAGGCGACGACGGGUAGCCGGCCAGAAAGGGUGACCGACCACACUGGGACUGAGAUACGGCCCAGACUCCUACGGGAGGCAGCAGUGGGGAAGAUUGCACAAUGGGCGCAAGCCUGAUGCAGCGACGCCGCGUGAGGGAUGACGGCCUUCGGGUUGUAAACCUCUUUCAGCAUCGACGAAGCGCAAGUGACGGUAGGUGCAGAAGAAGGACCGGCCAACUACGUGCCAGCCGCCGCCGUAA